AAAUUUCAAACAAGAUAGUUGUAAAAUUAAACUAAAACUGAAAUAAUUUCACAUUGUCAAAUAUUGAUUUGGACUCUGCCACUCAAAAUCAUAAUAUUAAAUAAUACACCACAGCUUUUAAAUUUUCAAUGCGUCUAAACUUAAAAAAAUUAUUUGAAAUUUAGUCAUGAUAUAAAUAAUGUUAAAAUACUAUAGAAUUAACGCAAAAUAAAUGAUUGAGUUGUUUUAUUCUAGUUUUUAGUUGAUUAGUUCAUGUUACUUUUAUAUUGACAAAAUAUGAAUAGUAGAAUGAAUAUGUACAUAUAUAGUAAUUUGCUAAAAAUUGGAAGAUUAAAGUGCAACAUGAUAACCAUUUGUUCUUUUGUGAAAGUAUGAAAUGAUUUGCAGGCAACAGACAAUGACAAUAAGUUAUAUAAGUUACAAACAAGACCAUAAGAUUUUUUAAACAAGUUUUAAGUAACGUUGACAAAUGAUUUUUAAAAAUUCAAAUUUUAAAAAUAAUUGUUCAUCAAAAUAGUGAAAUAAUACAAAAAUAAGGAACUUCUGAUAACACUUGCCAAUCACACUAUUGAAACAUGUUUUCUUGAAAUUAUCUAAAAGAAAAACCUGAUAUCUAGAAUUCUUAACAGAAGCCUGUAAAUACUUGUUUAAUUAUUGUUGGAAGAAAUUAAAACAACCUUAAAGAAACUUUUAGGAACAUUGUUCCC
rnacentral:lncRNA from 1 species